AAUUUUCAGCUAAAUUUGACCUUUGUAGUGCUUGAAAUUAUUGUAGACGCACUUUGAAAAUAUUUCGAAGCUUUUAAAAAUAUUAUGAAAAGAUUUGUUAUCUGUUCCCAGAAGCCAAACUUUUUUCUUGUCAUAAAAUCCAUA
ensembl:ncRNA F35B12.13 ncRNA